ensembl:lncRNA
ACUUUCCACUGAAGAGAGACUGUGGUUCCAGUGCUGCUACUUUGACUUAGGGAAAUCUUCUUUCGUCUCAUGGUUUGGACAGUUGCAUCUCUGUAAGGCAAUAUGGAAAAACAAGAACAAUUCUGCAGGAAGGCAGAGGAUUUUAGCUUCCAGGACUAUGAUUCAAAUGUGUUUUACAGCCACUGAAUUCACAUGCACUCUUAAUUAAAAGUAAAAUAUAACUCCUGAGUAGGCCCAUUCUACAACAGCCCUGGUCACAAAGAGGCUACACCGUGGAGGCUGUGCAGACAAUGUCGCCAAGGAUCCCAGAGCACACUGAACUGGAUUGAACUGAAGAUACCAUUAAGAGAGGAACUUCUGACAACUUGCCUGAGCUUAGGUCACUUGACUACACAAUUUCUCUUGUAGCCAAAGUUCUUUCACAGCCUCUCUACCAUCUGCAGGAACAUUCACUCAAGGAAGACAACAUAGCAGGGGGGUUGAACUAGAUGAUCAUUGUGGUCCUUUUCAACCCAGGCCAUAUGAUUCUAUGACACAUCACAGUGAGUCUGUGCAAUGGAGCUGCAAAACAGUCCAUGUCUGCUUUUACAGUCACACUGAGAAGAAUAAUCCAAGUCCAAAACUGGUAGACUCUUUUGGUGGGAAAGUUACCAGGCAGGUGCGAUCUACAGCUUUAUCCUCAAAGGACACUGCAAUAAGAAACUGAGGACAAGCAGUACUGUUGCUUAGGACAGUAAAUAGAAGAAGGAAAGUAAACAGAGCUGUCUGAAACACUCCUUUAGUUUUCUUCAAGUUCCAGUCCUUUUGGUGGAAAUAAAACUUGAAAACUGCUCAUGGAGUCCCAGAGGCCUCCAGGGUCUGGCCUCAGGUUUCACCCCAGGUGUUUCACUACUGCAGAAGAGGGAUUGUUUUAAAAGCCCCAAAGGCUGCCCUCCACCAGCACAAAGACCAUGAAAAGAUGUUGGUAAUUGCUUAGUGACAGACUAACUUGCCCUGAUUCCUUUCUGCACAACCCCAAAUCUAAACUUUAAUUAAAAUCUUGGGUUCUUUAACUCCUUUAGAGACAAGUGUAUCUGUGAAUCUGGACCUAAAUUCAAACUGAGAUUACAAUUUAGCAACAACUUCCAGUCAUUCAGGUACAAAAGCCUUCGUUUUUUAAUCCUGCUAUUAUUAGCAGCUUUAUAGCCUUUCCAAAAGCAAACAAUUCCAGGAAUAAGUAGAAGGAAAGGGUUGCUCUGAGGAAGAAACUGCAGUCUCUCAGGAGUCUCAGAGUCUGUUUAUGUGUGUGACGUUGUGGAACAUGCUGUGAAUUAUAAUUGACAUGCAGACUGUAAAAUUAUGGUCCCUUUCUAAUUGCUGUCUCUGUACGCCUCAGCCACGAGGUAUAAUUUCUUAGGAAAACGCAUUUCUCAUCCUUUUAAUCUGGAAUCCCUUUCAUAAUCUACAUAGGCUCCAUUACACACCAGUAGAGCCUACCUCCUCCAUAAGGAUGCUAUCCAGAUUUCCCUGAAUUACUGUCUGGGAUCGUCCUGGGGCAGAAGAUUCCAAACAACUGAGCCCAAAAAUGUAUUGUGAAUGCAGCAGUAUGACACCAAUAAAAGGUACUUUAAAUUAC